rnacentral:rRNA from 1 species
GUAAUACGGAGGGUGCAAGCGUUAAUCGGAAUUACUGGGCGUAAAGCGCACGCAGGCGGUUUGUUAAGUCAGAUGUGAAAUCCCCGGGCUCAACCUGGGAACUGCAUCUGAUACUGGCAAGCUUGAGUCUCGUAGAGGGGGGUAGAAUUCCAGGUGUAGCGGUGAAAUGCGUAGAGAUCUGGAGGAAUACCGGUGGCGAAGGCGGCCCCCUGGACGAAGACUGACGCUCAGGUGCGAAAGCGUGGGGAGCAAACAGGAUUAGAUACCCUGGUAGUCCACGCCGUAAACGAUGUCGACUUGGAGGUUGUGCCCUUGAGGCGUGGCUUCCGGAGCUAACGC